rnacentral:rRNA from 1 species
GAUGAACGCUGGCGGCGUGCUUAAUACAUGCAAGUCGAGCGAACGGACGAGAAGCUUGCUUCUUUGAUGUUAGCGGCGGACGGGUGAGUAACACGUGGAUAACCUACCUAUAAGACUGGGAUAACUUCGGGAAACCGUAGCUAAUACCGGAUAAUAUUUUGAACCGCAUGGUUCAAAAGUGAAAUACGGUCUUGCUGUAACUUAUAGAUGGUUCUGCGCUGCAUUAGCUGGUUGGUAAGGUAAUGGCUUACCAAGGGAACUAUGCGUAGCCGACCGCCGAGGGUGGUCGCCGACCUGGGAGGGUGGCCGCCCACAAGGGGCCUGCGGGACGCAGCAGUAGGGAAUCGUCCGCAAUGGGCGGGAACCUUGCGGAACGGCCCGGAGUGAGUGAUGAAGAUCUUCCGUUCGUAAAGCUCUGUUUUUAGGUGAAAACAUAUGUGUAAGUAGCUGUGCACAUCGUGACGGUACCUAGUCAGAAAGCCACGGCUAACUACGUG